rnacentral:tRNA from 1 species
UCCCUGAUGAUCCAGUGAUCAGGGCUCUGCACUUCUACUGCAGGGGACAUAGGUUCAAUCCCUAGUCAGGCAA